CGGACGGGUGAGUAACACGUGGAUAACCUACCUAUAAGACUGGGACAACUUCGGGAAACCGGAGCUAAUACCGGAUAAUAUAUUGAACCGCAUGGUUCAAUAGUGAAAGACGGUUUUGCUGUCACUUAUAGAUGGAUCCGCGCCGCAUUAGCUAGUUGGUAAGGUAACGGCUUACCAAGGCAACGAUGCGUAGCCGACCUGAGAGGGUGAUCGGCCACACUGGAACUGAGACACGGUCCAG
rnacentral:rRNA from 1 species